rnacentral:lncRNA from 1 species
CCAAUUUAUAUUAUUUUUUUACAAAUUAAAAAAAAAGUUAUUUUAAACAUGUUUGGAAAAAAAAGUUAAUUAAAAUCAACAUUUUUCUUCUUUAAACUUUUAAUAAUAUUCAGGUAUUUUACCAUUGAAAAGUAAUUGUACAUCGUCUUCCCCUACUUAACAUGUAAUUAUUUAAUUGCUGCCGUAUAUAUAUAUUUUUAGUAUUCUUAAGAAUUGCUCAGCCAUUUGCCAUAUAUUUCUUAUUCUGCAAAAUUCAUGAAUGGUUACAUGAUACCUUUAGUUACCACUCUAGUACCUGAUGCUAUUUUUAAUGCAUUCAUUGAAGAUUCAAGGUUAAUGUACUAUUUAAAAAUCACAAACAUAUUUGAAAUAAAACUAUGCAUAUAUGUGGCUCAUGUUUACUUGCAUCCAAACCAUUUCUCAUACGUACAUUUUUAGAAUAAGUACCUUAAUAUUCUGCUGAAAACAUUUUGCAUAGUGUUAGGAUCCUAUUGCUGCUUAACAUCUGCCUUUAACAAUAGAUUUUCCAUGUAUUAGAUAAUUGGAUGUUUUCGUUGCUUUAUUUAGCUUGAACUUUAUGAAAUCAUUUAAUGCGUCAUUGCUGCUUGGUCCUCUGCUGGUUAGAUUCCAUCCACUCCAUAGUGAAGUUCUUCAAGUAUAAGUUUAGAUACAAAGUUCGACUGUGGGAUGCAAAUGCUGCUGAGUGUUUAGGUAACCUUAAAAUUCGAGCAUCAGAGCAACAAUGGCUGCAAUUACAGACCCCUUUAUAUGUGGCAAGUCUACAUGUAAACUAUUUCUUCUUCUCUUAUAAUAGUUUCAUGUCACAAGUUUUAAAGAAUGGUCUAAAAAAAUCCCUAUGCUUUUUUCUUAUAUUUUCUCAUUUCACCCUUUAAUGGUACUUGCUUUUUAGAGAGAGAGAGAGAGUGAGAGAAAUAAAUUGGUCCAAGGAUCGAAAUCUGCAAUUUUUAGUUGAGUUUGACGAUGAUAUGAGCUUCUUUAAUGAAAUUCUGAAGCCAUUACUUUUAUUGUUUACUUAUGUUAAUUUCACAAUAUUUUAAUUAUUUCUCUUCUUUAACUUCGUUUAUUUCUCUUCUUUUUCUUGGUUUAUCCUUUCUUCUUCUCUCUCAACUUUACAAAGGUUCUCUGUGAAUUUUUUUUUUUUUAUAGAUUUGUUUUUCCACCAAAUAAUUUUGAUUUUUGAUUCAGUUGAACUUUAGGAGGAGUAUAGGGCUUCUUAUGCUGAAGACGAUGCUUUUCAUUUCCUAGACAACAAUGAUAUUCAUGAGUAUUUAUAAUAAAUUAUUUUUAUUGAACUCUGGACGUUUACAAAUUAAUUUUUGUUUCUGGAUUGGAAGAAUCAAGUGAAUUGAAUUAUUUGGACUUGUUUUUAAGGCUAAAAGAAAAAGGAAGAUUUUUCAAAAAUGAAACUUAAACCUCAUCAUGUCAAUCAUUCGUUGUGGGCUUGUGCUGAUGGUCAAAUUUUUCUCAAAACUUUUUCCCGUGUACAAACAAGCCUAUAACUUCCUCAUUGCCAUUGUUGAACCUAUUUUCAGGUAUCAUUUUAAUCAAUAUACUAUGAUUAUAUGUGUCACGUGUUUGACCCAUUGCUUAGAUACUACGAUACAAAAAUUGAGAGUUGAUGGCUCAUAGUAGUAUUACUCUAUGGCAAAGAGUAAAAAUAAAAGGAUUAAUGGCUCUAUAGUGGUUGUACUUUAGAAGAGAGGUACAAUUGACAUUGAGCUACUACACUUGCAUAGUUGAACUUGCAGGUUUAUUGAUUUCGAAUGUAAUUGGAAUUUAAUUUUAAUUUUUAUACUUUCUAUUUUACAGGCUCGAGUCAAUGCAUGAGUACAAUUUCGCGUCACACUGUAUAUGUCACGGUGGGAAUGUUUGUACUUCCAUGAAGGGACAUGGUAUUGAUGUACAACAACAAAAAUGGUUGUCAUUGACCUAUAAAAUGCAAAAAAUUUGCUGCUAUGCACAAACUCAACUUGGUCAUGGCUUCAACAUACAAGGCCUUGAAACCACUACAACAUUUGACCAUAAGGCUGAUGAAUCUGUAGUUCAUACUCUAACAUUGACUUUAAGCGAAGUAAGAAACAUGAUAGAUAAGAGGUUGGUAAUGUUUCAUGUUCCUGUUAAACAUUGGGACAAAUGCUUUUUCACUACACAUCUAAUUAUUGUAUUAUAGUUGUUUUCUUAUCCACUUACGUUUCUAAUUUCUUAUGCUAUAUUUUAUGUAUCUUCCUCGAAUUCCUCAAAUUUGUUCUAUAUUUUCUGUCUUAUUUUCCGAAUAGUGGUGUCCUGAUGGACUAGGUAAAUUGUCCACCCAUGCGGUUGUUUAUGCAUGCCAUUACAAUGGUAAAGAUCAUGGAGUUCAUGGUAAGAAUAUAUAGCCUCUAUUGACAUUGAUAUCCAAUUUUGUUCUUGCACAUGUUAGUCCAAGUUUUCAUAUUGUUUAGGCUUUAUUGUCCAACUACAGAACUUGGAGGACCACACUCUUUCGAGAAUCAUCCUUGGUCAUACUGAAUCAAAAUUUGGAAAUGGAGCAUGCAACACCAUGGACAAUGGUGUGUUAAUAUUUCAACAUUUACAUAUUCCGAGAGACCAAAUCUUGAUGAUGUAUGUUGCCAUUCAACUUAAGUAUACCUAUUUAUUUUGCAUUUACUCUUUAUCUUUUUUGAAUUAAGGAUAGUUUUUCAAUUCUAUGAUGCCAGUAUUUUGCGAUGAUAUUGGUUUUUCAAGCAUGUUGUUUAUUAGAUGUUCAUUGUUAAAAUCUUGAAAUUUUUUGGCACAAGCACAAAUGCCAAAACCUCGAAAUUUGAGAAUUUGAAGCAUCUAUAUUUAACACGUUAACAUUACUUUAAAAACAACAAAGCAUGUGCAUUGCACGAGCAAACGUGUGUGUGUGUGUGUUAACAUAUAUAAAACUAAAUUAUAAAAUAAAGAUUUAAUUGAUUCCGGAUUUAAAUAUUAUUUACCAUUUUAAAAGUUUGCAAAAUCACAGACUUAUUAGAGUGAGAAAAUCAAAUCCAUUUUUCAAUCUUCUCCCAAAUUGACACCGACAUUGCGGCGGAACAAUUGCACAUUCUUCGAUCACCGAACAUCCACGCAAGACCAAUCACACUUAUAAGCUAUGGAAGUUUUUCUUAUUUUUGUUUACAGACAAGUGCAGAGUGAAAUUCUAAUGGCUUGGCAUUUUUGGAGGGAUUUUACGAGUAAUAGUUGCAAUUCUUUGCUCAGAGAACUUGGUUUAGCCCCCUCUCUCAUAUUUUCUUCCAUGUUUUGCAUUGAUUAAAGGAAACCCAAAAAAUUAGAUUCAGAUUAUUCACACCUCCGCCCCUCAUCUCCACUUUUCGUCGCUCGUCACCCACCGUUGACCAAUAAAAGGUGCGUGAAGUCACAUAUAACAUGUGUGGACUAGUCAUAUUUAAUUAAUUGAAUCUCUCUCUCUCUCUCUCUCUCUCUCUUUCUCAACAGAGAUGUAUCAGUUAUUGUUUAUUCUCUUGGUCAAAGACGAACAAAAAAAUGGAGAAAAUUCUUUCACAAUAUUAUGAAAUUGUCCAGAGGGUGGAUUUUAUCCGAAAUAUAGGUUAUUUAAAUGAUAUCGGUUGUGCAAGCAUAUUUUUGUUUGCAAAAGGGAAGUUGGAUUAUCAUUUUCUUUCGGAGUGUGAAUAUGAUGAGUUUUGAAGUUGGUGGAUUAUGCAGUCAGCUAUUAGGCACUUCAAUUUGUAUCAAUUGGGUUGUUUGAUUGUUCUUGAGAUUCAUAUUCAAUUAAAUCAUGGUUUCUUGAAUUAUGUAAACAUAAUUAUCUUAAAUAGCACAUAACUAAACAUGUAAAUGAUGCAUCACAUAUUUUGACUGUCACCUAUAUCUAUGUGAUUGUGAUCGUGACGAAUGAACUUGUGAGAUUGUGACCUAGUUUGUUGUGUCUGAUUUGUGAAGAGCUAUAGGGAGAGCAUGGUUCUUACCGUGAUCGAACCAUUCAUCAAAUUUAUCCUGCACAAGAUGAAUGUUUUAGGUAUCUGGAAGAGCACGUCCGAUAUUGGGAUGAUAAUUUAAUGGAGUUGAAGGUAUUCAUUGUUGAUGGCAUUCCACAUCAACAAAAUGGGUAAGUUUGUGACCAAAAAUUUCAACUACAAACAUGGGAUUUAAUUUACAGUUCAUUCCUAAUAUAAAGCUUUGUGACUUUCGUCAGCCUUGAUUGUGGAAUCUUCAUGAUUAAAUAUGCGGAAUACUUACUUUCUGAUGGUAUUUCAAGUAUGCCGAUGACAUUUGAUGCUAAUAGAGCUAGGUUGGAUAUAGCUUCACUGCUGUCUAAACAUCGGCAAAUCAGGCAGGUCACAAAGUAGGGUAAGAAGAAAGGAGAUAACAUCAUAUAGAUAAAUUGUUUCCAAAUAGGUUACUGUAUUUUCAAUUCAACAUCAGUUUUCUUGUUUAAUUUUUUUUUUUAUAAUGUCUACGAUUGGAUCUAUGUUCAAUAUGAGUAAUACAACCGUUUUAGUUUGUUAAUGUUGAUGAUGAAAUUUUAUUCAUUUUGAAGGUA